rnacentral:rRNA from 1 species
AGUGAACGCUGGCGGUAGGCCUAACACAUGCAAGUCGAACGGCAGCACAGUAAGAGCUUGCUCUUACGGGUGGCGAGUGGCGGACGGGUGAGGAAUACAUCGGAAUCUACUUUUUCGUGGGGGAUAACGUAGGGAAACUUACGCUAAUACCGCAUACGACCUACGGGUGAAAGCAGGGGAUCUUCGGACCUUGCGCGAUUGAAUGAGCCGAUGUCGGAUUAGCUAGUUGGCGGGGUAAAGGCCCACCAAGGCGACGAUCCGUAGCUGGUCCGAGGGGAUGAUCAGCCACACUGGAACUGAGACACGGUCCAGACUCCUACGGUAGGCAGCAGUGGGGAAUAUUGGACAAUGGGCGCAAGCCUGAUCCAGCCAUACCGCGUGGGUGAAGAAGGCCUUCGGGUUGUAAAGCCCUUUUGUUGGGAAAGAAAAGCAGCAGGUUAAUCCCCCGCUGUUCUGACGGUACCCAAAGAAUAAGCACCGGCUAACUUCGUG